UGACUGUGAAGCAGAAGUUGUAUAUUAAUUGGGUUUUGGUUUGAGAAUUAAACACACAAAAACUGAGAUGGCUAGAACCACUCUUUCUUCCCUGUCUUUAUUUUUCUGUAUUCUCCUCAUAAUUACCUUCAGUUUCUUCGUGCAACCAAUUCCAGUAAGAACAGGUUUGUCUCUGUUACUGAAUCAUCCAAAACGUAAAUUAAAGAGGAGAUUUAUAAAUAGAUUUUGUAAGAUUAAAUUAGUUUUUAAAUUUAUUUGGAAUCAUUUUGUAAAAGUAAGAUUUCUGAAAACUGUUAUGAUAUGAAUUUGCAGAACUGAAAAUAAGGGGUCCCAAGCCAAGACCACCUCCUUCACCCACGCCUAACUGGCGCCCAGUUCCUGGUCAUCCUCCAUCCAACCAUGGCUGAAAUAUUACCACAAAUCGUAAGGGCUUCAAGUUUUCUUCGAUUCUCAUUUUUGUUAUCAACUUUUACUGUAUUAGGUUUUAUGUUAUAAAUAACACUGUGUAAGACCACGAAAGGAUUUACCCGUCCAUGUUAUAGAAUAUUAUAGAUUAUAAGGAAAUUAAAACCUUUUUAUUAUUGAUUUUAUUUUUACUGGGAUUUUAGCAAUCGAUUACCAAAAGUAUGGUUAGGAAUUGGAUAAUUAUUCAUAAUAAUUUUGUGCAUUAAUUCCUUCAGUGAUUGAAAUAAUUAUUAAAUAUGAGCACGUAUUUACUUUUUACGUUAAUAAAAGCUUAAAAAUAUAAGAUUAAGGGAAAAUAUCAUCAGACAAAGUUAAUAAAACAAGAAACAAAACAUAUAGGCGAAAGUAAUCCAAAAAGUUAAAGCCGAUGAUAGUGUUUAGGGAACAACUAAAGUAGAUUUCGACCCAAAUAUGCCCAAUGGAAUGCAAAAUAAACUUUAUACGUAGACUGGCUCAUUACAUAUAAAUGUAUUUGUUGAAAAAUAAAUUUUUACGAGAAAUGCAUUUAAAUAAGACAAAUAAAUAAAUAAAAUAUAUUUUUACUCUAAUUAUUUUUAGUUUAUUUUGGUUCACUGCUUCUGUCUUAAUUAGGAAAGUUGUUAAAAUUUCUUUUUAUUGAAAAAAAUUAUUUACAAAAAAUAGACUGGUUCACUAGUCAGUCAUGAAAUGAUGCUUCCACUAAAAUUAAAAUUGAUAAUCUCAGAAUUAGCUAUGCCAUUUUUUUUAUAAAUUUGAAAACAUAUUAUUAAUUAAAAUUAAGAACUUAAAGUAAAAAUGGAAAAUAUUUUGAAACUAUCAAUUUAUUUGUUCUUAAUUUAACAUUUAAAUAUUUACUUCUUAUUAAGAUUUUUCACCCUCCAUUUGAUUUAAUUUAAUGGACAAAGAUUAAUUUCUAAUUAGAUACUUAAAUUAAAUUAAAAGAAAACUACAAAUAAAGAUGGAAAGUAAGUUUUUUAAGUUGCUCUGAAAAUAGUUUCAUCUUUUCUCUUUUCUAUAUGUAACUCUACUUUUAAUGAUAAUUGUAAUAUCCCAAAAUAUGUGUAUAAUUCAUAUCAAGUGGAAUGCAACAUAUUAUAAUAACAGAAAGCAAUUAAGAGUAGUAGCAGAUGAAGUGUAUAUAAUACAGUCAUCCAAAAUAUGAUAUAAGCUCUACAUAUCAGCAUAGAGUCUUUCAAAAGGGAAAAGAGUAAAGAAGACUAAGUUAUACACAAACAAAAGAACUGAGCUACACUACUCUGCAGCAUCAGCAGUAUCAGGAACAUCUGGAACGUCUAGUAGCUGCUCCAGUGGGGCCUCUGAAACUUCUGCUCACAUCCAAUUAGGAUGAUCAUUGCAAAAGAAAACAAGCACAAACAAGACAUACAUCAAACAAAGCAAGGGUAAGCUAGAAUUCAAAAGAAUACAAAUCAAUUUAAAUUAAACAAGGUAAAAGAGACAUACAAGCAAUUGCAAUCAUAGAAGGACAACUUUAAUAGAUUAUGAGUUAUAGUUUUUUUAGGUAGCGUUAGACUUAGACUCGUCCGGACCCGGAAUAAAUAUCGAGCUAUGGCGAGUUAUGCACUUGUGGUGGCCUCUACUGCUUUGCAAAGCCAUUGCCAAUGGGUUUCACCCUACCACACACAAGGUUAGUCCGUUAUCACUCACCUUGGCCCAUAUACAAUGGAGACAACCAAGACUAGGACCCCCUACUGCUCUUCACUACAUGAACUAAUCUUCUCUAAGUGAGAUUGAAUAGUCAUUAGAGCUUUAAGGGAAACCCCCAAGACUGAGCUACCUAUAUUCAUUCCAGAAACUUAACUUAAUAUCACUCAUUCUUGGCCCAUAUAAAAUAGAGACACCCAAGACUGAGCUUCCUAUAUUCAUUCUCAAACUUAAUAUAAUCUCACCGCGAGAUACUACUUAAAUCAUUAUAUCAUAUUACACCACAUGGAACACAAUCAUUCUUUAGUUAUGUCACAAAAACAACUUAUACAUACUCAGACAUUAUAUAUUUUCACAAAACAUCACUUAUUAACACAAUUAUCUUUAUAAUCUUUAAUUACCCAUACUUAAGUAAUUCAAAUAGCUUGGAGACCCUCACCAAUGGCUCCGGAAGAGUCAAAACCCCCCAGAUUGACCUAAAGAACGUCCAGAAAUGAUACCCGGAACCACUAGAACCACUCAAAACUGUCCUGGAUGAUUUCCUGACAACAAUAAUCGAUUAUUGCAUAUAAUAAUCGAUUAUUACAUAUGAUAAUCGAUUAUUACACAUGAUAAUCGAUUAUUUAAGUGAACUUUGAAGAAAAUAUGAUGUUCUGACUAGAAUAAUCGAUUAUCAAGUGAGAUAAUCGAUUAUUCUUAUCAGUAUUUGACAACAACCUUAUUUUAGUGCAUCUNAGACACUUUGAUGAGUUUCAAACAAUCCUAGAUUGAUUUAUAUGAUGAUUUGAACUUGUCUAGAUGAUUAUAGCUAUUCUUAAUCUCAUUCUUUAAUGGUUAGGCAUUGAUUCAUACUCAAAAACUUAGAUUUCAACAACUUAAAGACUCACUCUCAUACCUAACACUUAGAAACUGUUUUGGACCAGUUUAGGGACUCUAACAGGUCCCAAUUUACUUACCUAGACCAUCCCAAUUGACCAAUUUAGCUCCCAACCCCAAUUGUCCAAUUUGACUACCUCACUUCCCUUAGACUAACCUAAAACACCAUAACCAACUUAUCUUUUUGUUUAAUAACUUGUAUAAUAUCAAUCAUAACACUUGAAUACUAAAUUUCAUCAUCACAUAUUACCCAUACCAGUUCCUAAUCAUCCUUUCACAGAUUCACAGUCUCAUAAGUCACACAUUUAUAGGCACAUACUCAACAUACAAUUUCAUCAAAUAUCAAUUCAAACAGGAACACCUUUCAUCUAACAUUUCACACAUGAAUCAUUCAUAAACAUCACUAAAUCUAAUUCAAUGCAUACAAUUAUUUCACAAUUACAAACCAAAAUCCUUGCUUCCCUUACCUCUGUUUCACAGCAUAGUAUGACAGAACCUUGCCCGCUCUCUUGCACCCCAAGAAAAUACUAGGAUUACCUAUAGAUCAUAAAUUGAAGAUGGAAAACAAUUUCUUAAUUUUCAAUUGAGCUAAGAAAUUUGAAGAAGAGAACUGUUAAACACAUGCAAGCAAAACUGUUGCAUGAUCACAGUCCAGAAAAUACAGGGAAAAUAGGGAAAACGCUUACCGGAGGAAAAACACCGAAUUGAUCGGUUGAAUUCGAAGCCUAUAACUCCAGGACUGCUUAGGUGCUUCCAGAUUGUUGAACAAUUGACUUAGUGAGAAAAAAUCCUAGAGAGAUUAGAGAGAGAAUGAAAGGGUUAUGUUUCUAGAGAGAAGAAGAAGAGCACGUUUGAAGAGAAGUAGUGUUCUAUCUGAUAAUGGGUUGAACUUAGAAAGUUUUAAGUUAAAAUUGUUUCACUAAUAAUGACUCAGCCCAUUGUGUUGCCACGAGUCCAACCCCAACUGCUCUCUUUUUCUCAGACUUUACAAUAAUACUUUUUAUAAUGUUUCCUUCAUAAAAAUAUUUUAUAUGAUAUUAUUUCUAUAAUUUCUUACGUUCAAAGUCUCACACAAUUUAGAGUUUAGAUAAAUAGUAAUUUAAAUAUAUUUUAUUUUUUUAAUUUUUGAGGUGUUUAACGAAAGUGUAAUAGAACUUCAAUUUACAAAAUCAACAAUAUUUAUAACGAUGUUAUCUCAAUGAAUUUCGAGAUUCAAAAGUCGAAUACUUAUUAAAAAAAUGAAUGAAAAAAAUUAUUCUAAGACGAAAUUUUGUAUAUUGCUUAGAAUGAUUAAGAGUUUAUAUACACAUAGAUACUUUUAAUGGUGACUUUUUGAAGUGGUACCAAUUAUAAAUAAUUCAUAUUGUAGUAUGAUUAUGCAAAAAUUGAAAACUAGUCAAUUUUUUUCUGUUGAUUUUUCCUACGAAAACGUGUUCCCUUUUUAAUUUUUCUGUAGGAAAUUUCAUCGAAAGCUCAAAGAGAAGCAAAAUUUUGGAUUGGUAACUAUGAAACAGAAGUCAUAUAUUAAAUGGGUUUAGGUUUCUAGAUUGAACACACAUAAAUCGAGGAUGGCCAGAAUCACUAUUUCUUUUAUGUCUUUGUCUUUCAUUAUUCUCCUCAUAACCACCUUCACUUUGUUCAUCCAACCAGUUCCAGUUAAAGCAGGAUUAUCUCCAUCAUUAAAUCAUCCAAUCUACUUGUGUUUUUUAUAUUAUUAUAUUAUCAUUCUCUAAAUAGUAUCAAUAUUCAUUUAAAAAAAGAAUCGUGUUGACUCUUUUUAAUAAAAAAUGAAAACUAUAUUGAAAUGAGAAAAAAAAAAUUCAAACACUACAUUAAAUAAUUUUAACGAAAAUUAGGAUAAAAGAGACCAUUAAAGCAAUAUGAUGAAAAUCUCAUCUCUCAUUAGGCAUCCUAUGUGAUUAUUAUUUUAUAUUAAUUCUUUUUUUUCAAUUAAAAAACUCAUAAUAAUUAUAAGGAUAAUGAUAUUUAGAUAAUAUUUUUUUGACAAUAUUUAAACAUUGAUUACGUGUCAAUCUGUGAUUGGUCAAAAAUUACUCCACAAUCAAUAAUAAUAAUCAUAAACAUUACAUUAUUGUGGAGUAAUUUAAAUCAUAAAUAUUAUUGUGGAGUAAUUUUUGACCAAUCACAGAUUGACAUAUAAUCCAUGUUCAAAUGUUGUCUAAAUAUCAUUAUCCUAGUUAUAAAUGUAUAAUAAUUAAAUUUGAUUGAAAUAUAUGUGUAUAUUAUUGAGAUGAUGAAAGUUGUUUAAAUUUGUAGAUUUGAAGAUGAGAAAGUUGGGUGUUCAAUCAAGCCCACCUCCUCCACCCAGUUUAGGCUCACAAACACAUGUUAGACGACGAGUUAUUCCUUCACCUCCACCUCCGAUUUCCAUGGCAUAAGAUCUUCCAUUAUUAAUCAUCUAUGCUCCUUCAUCUACUUUCUUUCUAUCAUUUCUUUCACUGCUUUAUUUUAUACACUAUCCACUUUAAUGUAUAAUAUAAAUAACAUUAUUAUGUCAAAGUUUCAUUCCAACGUUCAAAAGAGGAAACACACUAUUUAGUUUAUACUUUUCCUACCUUUGAUAAAUUGUACUUCCUCCUCCUUCAAAUAAAACAAUAAUUAUUUAAUUUGAAAAUGCUCAAUAUUAUUUAAUUUUAUUAUAAGGUUUAUUCUCGAUCAUCUCCAUCGAAUAAUAAGUAUACAUGUUGUUCAUACAUGUCUCCAUCGAAUACUAAGUAUACAUGUUGUUGUUCAUACAUGUCUGCUUGAAUAUUAAUUAAUUAAUUAAUUUUUUACAAAAAUAACAAACAUAACAAAUAAAACAUAAUAUUAUCUUAUAUUUAAUAUAAAAAACUGUAUUAUCAUUUUUUUAAUAUCAAAUAUUUUUUUAAAAAAAUUAUAAAUGUAUAAAUUUCAAAUUAAAAUAUCAAAUAACAAUUAGAUAAAAAUGAAAUAAUUAUAAAAUAUUACACAUUAAUAAAAUUUUAUUACCAUCAAAAUAAUUGUUAAUUCUGCUAAUAUUAAUAAAAUAAAGUGUUGAGGUUAAAAAAUAAUUUUGAAAAAUUAUAAAAAAAAAUUCAAGUUUUAAAGUGCUUCAAAUAUUUCUUUUUAAAUUCUAAUAAAAUGUCUAUAUUUUUAUACACUAAUAAAGAAAUUAACAUUUACCUAUCUCAUUAAUAUAUUAUCUGAAUAUUCUCUAUAUGAUUUUUAUUAUGCAAUGAAUAUUAUAUCAAAAGUUAAUCUAAAUUAACUCUUUACAUCAUGAAAUGUUGAGGUUCUAUUUAAACAAAUGAUUUUUCAAACUAUAUAUCAAAAUAUAAUUUUUUUUCCUUGAGUUUGUUUCAACUAAUCAUUUUAAUGAUAUUGUUUAGGGAUAUUGGAUUGUUAUGAUCCAAAACAAAUUUAGGAAAUGUAAAAAGUAUAGGAUGAAGUCAGAAGACAGCUAUUCUAUUUUUUUGGGACAUCGUGUCUUAUGUCUACUAGAAUAUUUAUAUGAUAAUUAAUGAAACAUAUAUUUACUUUUAUGAGAAGUGUUCAGAUGUAAAGAUUGUGACUCUAGGGAUGUUUAAUUAGUUCAAUCCUUCACUUCUUUUUUCUUUUUUCUUUUUUCUUGUAUAAGAGUUGAAACAUCCCAAGAACUUUAUUUAAUAUAAUUCUUCACUUAUAAAAAAAUCAUUGAUAGCAAAAUAAUGACAAAAUGUUUUAAUUUUUUUUAAAUAUUAAUAAAUUAUGGUGAUCAAAUAACUAAAACUAAGAAAAGAAGAAGAAAAAGGUCCUAGUUAUUAAACUACUAUAAUAAAAUAAAUGUUACAAAUUAAAACGUAAAGAAUUUGAAGAUGCACUGUUGAUGCCUUUCCGCAGAGCAGAUUUUUAAAUUUGAAUUAAACUGGAAUUAACAUAAUUGGACCCUUUAAACGGUUGAAUUCAUAACACCGUUGUCAAAGAUUGGUAUCUUCAUGGAAAAACCAAUAGCAACUAAUUCAUAUAUUUUAACGUUACGACUACGCAAUUUUUCUCAUUUGAUUAUUGACUUCUGAAACUAAUAUUAAGAGCUCUGAUUUUCCUUAUCUUCAUCGAUCCUGCUUUUCACUUGAAAAAAUUCUUAAAGUCAUCCCUGUUACAUUUUCUCAAUCAAUUUUAAGUACAAAAUCAAAGAAAAAAAAAUUAGGGUUUUCUAUAAAUUUCUCUGAAUUUCUGAAUCUGAAGCAACAUGUGGAAUAAUAUAAAGUUUCACCGUUGUGAGAGAUGGCUAACAUCUUCAGUCUCUCAUCAAUCUUUGCACGUUUGCUUCUGUUAACGAUAGCCUUUGCUUUGUUUAUGCAGUUGAGUGUUGGUUCAGGUUAGUCUUCGUCGUGAAUCAUGAAAAUGCAUAGAAGAAUAUCAUCACGAUCACUUCCCCCACCUAUAUGCUGUUCAUUUUUUUGGACAAAUUUCCGUAUCAUAAAAACGUAGGAUUUUGAUCAUUCUGGAUAAACGUUUUGAACCGUUGACAUCAUCUUGUUGUUUUAAUUUGCAGAUCUGAAUAUGAGGAAACUGGGUGUAUUGCCAUCACCACCUCCGCCACCACGUCGAAACUCAGCACCAGGGCCUGCAAGAUAAAUUAGGGCUACCAUGACCAAGAAAAUUUUCAUGUUAUUCUUGUUCCAUAAAUAAAUAUUCCCUUAUUUUAGAUAUAAUUGCAAGAUAUAUAUUUUAUUUAUAUUUUCGACUUAAUAAAAGAUAUAUAUAAUUAUCUUCUUUAGCGUGACGAGAGAAAAUAAUUCCAUAUGAAAAAUUUUCCUUUCUGAUCCCAUGAUUCUCUUUAUGUGAUUGUUUAGGAUAACUAAUGGAUCUACUCACAAGUCUAAAGGCAAUUUUUUCUUCUCUAUUGUGGCAAAUAAAUCUACCAACAGUAUAUUUGAACAAGUUUCCAUCAACUGAACCUUCGUACUUACCAUUUUUAAUUUCACGUUUACCUCAGUUGAAGUUUCUGUAGAAUUACACUAGUCCAACAUAUUAAAUUUCUUUAGUACCUUUGAAAUGUACUUCUUAUUGUGCAUAACAAUUCCCUUUUAAAGAAACUACAAUCCUAAAAAAUAUGAUAGGAUUCUAAAAUUUGUCAUUUCAAAUUCUUUCUUAAAACUUUGUUUCAAGAAAAAAAAAAUUAUCUAUGAAGUUUUAUCAACAAAAAUAAAUUGGUUGGUAAAUUUAAGUCAACGAUAAAUUUUUAAAAUUUUAAUUAUUGAUGAAUUUAUUUCAUUGAUAUAUUAUAUAUUUUAUUUAUUAAAGAUUUUUCUGUUGAUAAAUUAAAUUUGUCUUACUUAUUUUAUUGGUAAAAUUCAUCCAUAAAAAAAAUAAAAAAGCUUUUGCCCAUCUUUUCUCUCUUUUUCUGCGAGCCACUCGUUAUCCAAUCAUAAUUAUCCAAUUUCUAACCAUACUUUUGGUAAUUGAUUGCUAAAAUCCCACUAAAAGUAAAAUCAAUAAUAAAAAGAUUUUAAUUUCCUUAUAAUCUAUAAUUGUCCAUCCACCCAGUGUAAAUCUUUUCUUGGUAAUACACAUUGUUAUUUAUAACAUAAAAUCCAAUACAGUAAAAGUUGAUAAAGAAAAUGAGAAGAAAAGAAAACUUGAAGCCCUUAUGAUUGUUGUAAUGUUUCUGGAAUUCCUAUGUUCCAGGAAUUAUUUACGUGUGUAUUGGAUCGCCAAGAUUGGGUGUAGGAGGUGGACUUGCCAUGGGACCCCUAGCUGCAAAUUCAUAUCAUCACAAUUUUUAGAAAACAUAUUUUACACAUUCAAUAUGAUAUUAUACUAUUAAAAAAUAAAAUUAAAAUUUAAUUUAAUCUUAUAAAAUCAAUAUUUAAUUUUAUUUAUAUUAUAAGAAUUGUCUAUACUUAUUAUUCAAAUAUUUUUUGUAAAGUUUUAGAUGAUUGAACGAGAGAGACAAACCUGCUCUUACUGGAAUUGGUUGGAUGAAGAAAGUGAAGGUGAUUAUGAGGAGAAUACAGAAAGAUAAAGACAGAGAAGAAAGAGUGGUCCGAGCCAUCCCAAGUUUGUGUGUUCAAUGCUGAAACCCAAACUCCAUUAAUAUACAACUUCUCCUUCAGAGUCACCAAACCUAAAUUUUCCUUCUUUUCGAGCUUUCGGUGAAACUUUCCAUAGAAAAAUAGGUCAAUAAAGAUAAUAAAAUACACACCAAACCUCAUUGAUGCCGGUCUCAUGCCACCAGCUGGUCAUACGCUUGUGACUGGCUGAUCAUAUAUAAUUUAUUAUUAUUAUCUUAAUUUAUGAAAAAUCAUAAAAUUAUGUAACUUUUACUCCUUCAUAAUGAAUUUCAUUCAUUAUUUUAUACAUUUUAAUUAAAUUUAACUAAUUAUUAAAAUUCAUUAAUUAAAUAUGUGGAAUUUUCAAAGAUCUGAAGUACGAUUUCGUUCUAUAAAAUUGGCUUAAUUCUAAGAUUAGUCUCUAAAUUUUAUAAAAUUUUCAAUUUCAAUCUCUAAUGUUUCUCUCUAGUCCAUUAUGUUUUAAUUACCUUUGGCUCAUGAAAUUAUUUUAUGCAAUUUUGAUCUUCAAUGUUUAUUUAUCUAGAAAUUUAUUUAACUUUAAUUUUAAAAAUGUUACCCUCCCCAAUUUUGCAAUUUUUAUCGUCUUCAGUCCAGUAAAAGAAGUUACAAAUAAAAGAAACCAAUAUUAUAAAUAAUUAAAGAAUUAAAAUUGUGAAAAAAGAAUUAGAAAAAGAAAACCUUGUAAAAUCUAAGGAAAGGAAUACAGUUAAGCUUAUAAAAUUAAAAGGCACUCGUAAUUAAACAAAUGAAUAUAAAUGGUAGAAAACGCAAUAAAACAUAACUUAUAAAAUAUGGGCAAUUAUAUUUUAACAAAAAAAUAAAAAUAAAAAUUUAUUCUUAAAUUGAUUAAUCAUAUGAAAUUUUAUUUAAGCCUAUAUUGAGCGAUCUAAAAGAAAUAUGAAUAUUUAAGGGAUUUAAUCCCAAUUAGCAUCGAGUUUCGAAUGAACUUUUUUAUAAUAUAUACUGUUUACUUUUCUUAUAGUCAAUACUUGAGAGUAAUAUUAACAUUCUGACUUACACAUUCUUCAAGUAGCAAACAUUUCUCUUCCACAAAGACAGCUACAUAUUUUAUCUGAUAUUACCACGAAGUUUCCUUUUAUAAUAGCUUUAUCUGGUUCGUCAUUUUAGACAAUUCUUCAAUUGGAAGCGGUCAAAUUAACAUAUUCGUUUUUUUAAGUAAAAUCUAAUUAGAAUUUUACAAGUGAUUAGAUAAUGAAAAAAAUAAUAUUACUAGUGAUUAGCUUUAGAUUCUUAAAAAAAAAUUGAUAAAUAGUUCAUAUUGUAAUAUGAUGAUGCAAAAGUUAAAAACAAAAACUAGUUAUUUUUUCUGUUCAUUUCUGCUAGCAAAACGCGUCCCUUUAUUAUCAUUAUUGACCAAGUUUUCUAUUGGAAAUUUCGUUGAAAAAGUUGAAAGAAAAGCAAAAUUUAGGUUUGGUGACUGUGAAGCAGAAGUUGUAUAUUAAUCAGGUUUGGGUUUGAGCAUUGAACACAGACAAACUGGGGAUGGCCAGGACUACUCUUUCUUCUCUGUCUUUAUCUCUCUGUAUUCUUCUCAUGAUCACCUUCACUUUGUUCGUGCAAUCAACUCCAGUAAGAGCAGGUUUGUCUCUGUCAUUCAAUCAUCUCAUUUUUUGCCAAAAGAAAAUAUAUAAUGAUUAUCAAUUUGAAUUUCAACCACACAUAAUUUAAUGGUUUAAUUGUUUCUUUUGUCCCCAAUUUGGUUGAAGUGUGUCAAAUUCGUCUCUCUUUUAGAAAAAUGUCAAUUUCUUCCCCAUAUAGAAAAAAAUUGUGUCAAUUAAGUCAUCUCCAUUAAAUACAAACUAAUGGUGUUAAAAACUUAAAGUGAGUUUUGAAUAAUAACCACUUCAUGGGUCUGAUCCCUGAUAUUGCAGUGGAUAAAGUGAGUUUUGAAAGCAAUGAUUUUUAACGGAGAUGACUUGAUUGGCACAAAUUUUUUCUAUAUAAGGACGAAAUUGACAUUUUUCUAAAAAAGGGACGAAUUUGACGCACUUCAACCAAACUGGGGAAAAAAAAGCAAUUAAACCUAAUUUAAAUGUAUAUUGUGAAAUAAAAUAAUUGAAAUGUAGUAAUUAAAUUUGGUUGGACAUAUGUAUGUUGAUGAUGAGAAAUUGUUUAAAUUUAUAGAUUUGAAGAUGAGAAAGUUGGGUGUUCAACCAAAGGCACCUCCUGCACCCUCGCAGGCAGUCCAAUUCAAACCACCUAUUGUGAAACCUCCUAUUUUGAAACCUUCACCUCCACCUCCACCUCCAAUUUACAUGGGAUGAUCUUUCAUUAUUAAUCAUUUGUGCUCCUUCAUCUACUUUCUUUCUCAUCAUUUCCUUCACAUGUAUGAUAUAAAUAAUAUUAUUAUGUCAAAGUUUGAUUCCAAAACAUGUAUGUGCAAGUUAGAUUCAAAGUAGGAAAGACACUGUAUAUUUAUUCUAUAUAUACUUUUGUAACAAUAAGUUGUUGUAAUUCCUCUUCGUUCUCUUAGAAUAAACAAAAACAGUGCAGUUUUCAGUUACAUUCAGUUUAUGUUUCUUGUAUAUAAAACGUUGUAAUCACAUACUUUAAAAGUAAUGAAAUUUUGAGAGGUUAUUCAGUACCUUGUGUGCCUUCAUAACUCUUCGUUGCAUUCUCUGGUUGCUCCGGUGUGUGGCUCUGAUUGUGUCCGGUGGAGGAAGAGGGAAACCUUAGCAGAGUGUCUUACUCUGCCCUCUCUCUAAAACUCUCGUC
rnacentral:lncRNA from 1 species